rnacentral:rRNA from 1 species
GUCGAACGCCCCGCAAGGGGAGUGGCAGACGGGUGAGUAACGCGUGGGAACAUACCCUUUCCUGCGGAAUAGCUCCGGGAAACUGGAAUUAAUACCGCAUACGCCCUUUGGGGGAAAGAUUUAUCGGGGAAGGAUUGGCCCGCGUUGGAUUAGCUAGUUGGUGGGGUAAAGGCCUACCAAGGCGACGAUCCAUAGCUGGUCUGAGAGGAUGAU